UACGGAGGGUGCAAGCGUUGUCCGGAAUUACUGGGCGUAAAGCGCACGUAGGCGGCUUUGUAAGUUAGAGGUGAAAGCCCGGGGCUCAACUCCGGAAUUGCCUUUAAGACUGCAUCGCUAGAAUUGUGGAGAGGUAAGUGGAAUUCCGAGUGUAGAGGUGAAAUUCGUAGAUAUUCGGAAGAACACCAGUGGCGAAGGCGGCUCACUGGCCCGAUACUGACGCUGAGGUGCGAAAGCGUGGGGAGCAAACAGG
rnacentral:rRNA from 1 species